UACGUAGGGUGCAAGCGUUAAUCGGAAUUACUGGGCGUAAAGCGUGCGCAGGCGGCUUUGCAAGUCGGGUGUGAAAUCCCCAGGCCUAACCUGGGAACUGCACUCGAGACUGCAUGGCUAGAGUAUGGGAGAGGGAAGUGGAAUUCCAGGUGUAGCGGUGAAAUGCGUAGAUAUCUGGAGGAACACCGGUGGCGAAGGCGGCGUUCUGGACUGCAACUGACACUGAGGAACGAAAGCCAGGGGAGCAAACGGG
rnacentral:rRNA from 1 species